GAUGAACGCUGGCGGCGUGCCUAAUACAUGCAAGUCGAGCGAACGGACGAGAAGCUUGCUUCUCUGAUGUUAGCGGCGGACGGGUGAGUAACACGUGGAUAACCUACCUAUAAGACUGGGAUAACUUCGGGAAACCGGAGCUAAUACCGGAUAAUAUUUUGAACCGCAUGGUUCAAAAGUGAAAGACGGUCUUGCUGUCACUUAUAGAUGGAUCCGCGCUGCAUUAGCUAGUUGGUAAGGUAACGGCUUACCAAGGUAACGAUGCAUAGCCGACCUGAGAGGGUGAUCGGCCACACUGGAACUGAGACACGGUCCAGACUGCUACGGGAGGCAGCAGUAGGGAAUCUUCCGCAACGGGCGAAAGCCUGACGGAGCAACGCCGCGUGAGUGAUGAAGGUCUUCGGAUCGUAAAACUCUGUUAUUAGGGAAGAACAUAUGUGUAAGUAACUGUGCACAUCUUGACGGUACCUAAUCAGAAAGCCACGGCUAACUACGUG
rnacentral:rRNA from 1 species